GACCUCGGAUCAGGCGGGGCUACCCGCUGAACUUAAGCAUAUCAAUAAGCGGAGGAAAAGAAACCAACAGGGAUUGCCCUAGUAACGGCGAGUGAAGCGGCAACAGCUCAAAUUUGAAAUCUGGCUCUUUUAGAGUCCGAGUUGUAAUUUGCAGAGGGCGCUUUGGCUUUGGCAGCGGUCCAAGUUCCUUGGAACAGGACGUCACAGAGGGUGAGAAUCCCGUACGUGGUCGCUGGCUAUUGCCGUGUAAAGCCCCUUCGACGAGUCGAGUUGUUUGGGAAUGCAGCUCUAAAUGGGAGGUAAAUUUCUUCUAAAGCUAAAUAUUGGCCAGAGACCGAUAGCGCACAAGUAGAGUGAUCGAAAGAUGAAAAGCACUUUGGAAAGAGAGUUAAAAAGCACGUGAAAUUGUUAAAAGGGAAGGGAUUGCAACCAGACUUGC
rnacentral:rRNA from 1 species